rnacentral:rRNA from 1 species
UACGGGAGGCAGCAGUGGGGGAUAUUGCGCAAUGGGGGCAACCCUGACGCAGCAACGCCGCGUGAAGGAUGAAGGUUUUCGGAUUGUAAACUUCUUUUAUCAGGGACGAAACAUGACGGUACCUGAUGAAUAAGCUCCGGCUAACUACGUGCCAGCAGCCGCGGUAAU